CCGGAGAUGCCAGGCCAUAAUGCAGCAACGAAACGCGCAGACAAAAAAGACAUGAUAGCAGCUCGGAAGGAUCUUGCAGCUACUGGUAGCUAAUGUCGACACGUUGCGAGCGGGGCGCGGCCAGCGAAAGCGGCCAAGGAUGGGCCGAAGGGGAAGGACGCAAGGCUAAC
rnacentral:ribozyme from 11 species